AUUCACCAAUGCUGCUUUCCGCUACUUCAUUUUGCUCAUCCAUGGCUGCAAAAAUCUGGUUUGAAGUUCUAACCACUGGAUUUUGGAGGUUUAACUCACCAAUGCUGCUUUCCGCUACUUCAUUUUGCUCGUCCAUGGCUGCAGAUAUCUGGUUUGAAGUUCCAACCACUGGAUUUUGGAGGUCUAACUCACCAAUGCUGCUUUCCGCUACUUCGUUUUGCUCAUCCGUGGCUGCAGAUAUCUGGUUUGAAGUUCCAACCACUGGAUUUUGGAGGUUUAACUCACCAAUGCUGCUUUCAGCUACUUCAUUUUGCUCAUCCAUGGCUGCAGAAAUCCAGUUUGAAGUUUCAACCACUGGAUUUUGGAGGUUCAACUCACCAAUGCUGCUUUCAACUACAUUUUGUUCACCAUGGCAUGACUCAGAAGGCAUCUCUGAGUUGUAUGUAGUAUCAUAUGUAGGUUGGACAGAUUCCACAUCACUGACCACAUCUCUCGUCUCAACAACAGUGGUGGUUUUCACAUUGAGAACAUCUAACGCAUCCAAACUUCGAUUCUCAGUUUCAACCACUGGAUUUUGGAGGUUUAACUCACUAGCGAUGUUUUCAGCAGUAAGAUUAUUUGCUUCAGUUACUUCAUUAUGUUCACCAUGGCAUGUUCCAGAAGGUGGCUCUGGGUUGCAUAUGAUAACAGAUGUAGGCUGAACAUACACCACAUUAAGUAACUCAUCUCUUACCUCAAUGGCAGGAGCUGAUUCCACACUGGGAACAUCUAUAACUUCAGUACUUUCGUUCUUGGUCUCAACCAGAUUUUGAAGGUUCAGCUCAGCAACGCUGCUUUCAGCAGUAAUAUUCUUUACUUCAGUUAGUUCAUUAUGUUUACCGUUGCAUGUUUCAGAAGAUAGUUCUGGAUUGCAUAUGGUGUCAUAUGUAGGUUGAACAUAUUUCACAUUGCCCACCUCAUCUCUUACCUCAACAACAAAAGUUGCUUCCACAUUUGGCACGUCUAGAGCUUGCACAAUUGGGUUCUCACUUUCAAUCUCUGAAAUUUGGAAGUUCAAUUCACCAAUGCUACUUUCAGCAGUAGUAUUCUUUGCUUCAGUUGUUUCCUUCUGUUCACCAUGGCAUCUCUCAGAAUGCAGAUUCUGAUUACAUGCAGUAUCACAUGAAACUUGAACAUGUUCCAUAUCACUGACCUCAUCUCUUACCUCAACAGCAGAAAUGGAUUCCACAUUGGGCACAUCUAAGGCUUCCAAACUUCGGUUCUCAGUUUCAACUGCUGGAUUUUGGAGGUUCAACUCACCAAUGGUGCUUUCAGCAGUAAUAUUCUUUGCUUCAAUUACUUCAUGAUGUUCACCAUGGCAUGUUUCAGAAGAUGGCUCUGGAUUGCAUACAAUAUCAC
rnacentral:lncRNA from 1 species